AGUGGAAAAACACCCACAGCUCUGUGCUGCUGCUGGAAUAGCUUACUUUGAUGUGCAGAGGGCCCAGACAUUGUGCUCGUGGGAAAAUAAAACGCUUCCUUUUGGUGGGCAGAAGUGCUGAUACAGAAGAGUUUUUCAAGCCCAGACUCCACUCCUUUUAUUUCUCCUCCUCAUGUAUCGGUCCCAUUUUCCUUCUCUGAUUUUUCCUCGAACUCUCAUUUUCCAUUCAAAUUGCUUUCCAAACCACAGAAUAAGGCUA
rnacentral:lncRNA from 1 species